rnacentral:lncRNA from 1 species
GUCCUCUCUCUCUCUCUCUCUCUCUCUCUCUCUCUCUCUCUCUCUCUCAUACACACACUCACAGACCCACACACCACAUACACAUAUCACACACACACACACACGCGCGCACACACACACCGAGUAGCUCCAGUCUGAGAAGGCUCUGGCUCAGGCGCCCAGUGUCAAACCCAUCGGCGUGGGAAGCUCUGCUCCACUAUGUGGCAGUAGGCUCAGAGUAUGCUGCAGCCUUGAAGUGCUACUCUCCAGUACAGAGCAAAUGCCUAGCAAAAGGCAGUAAAAGUC